UAGACCUGCAAUGUAAACAUUGCAGUUUCUAUGGAACUGCAAUAUUUAACAUUGCAACACUA
rnacentral:miRNA from 1 species